AGAUGGACCUUUAAUCAGAUGGAUUUUUCGCCUGAGGCACCCCCAGCAAGUCCCACUAGCAGAGGCCUGUUCCCAGGAGUGGGGCCAGUGCUCCUGCUAACCGGCCUCGCACAGCGAUGGGGGCCUCCCUCCAGGACCGACUGUUCCAGUCCUGCAGGAAGCAUGUCAGGGCAAAGACCGAGCCAGGACCUCACGGCCACCGCCCUGCAUUGUUGGUCUUCCGGAGCGGAGAAGUCUCAAGGUCUUCACAACAACAACCUCGCCUCGUUCCCAUCUCGCACCUUCCCUGAGGGCUUGCUGGGCGCUUCUCCGGUGGGAGCACCUUGGUCUCAGCAGAGCCAGAGCCCCUACAGGGACCUUCUGAACCCUCAGGAAUGCAGAAGCCUCUUGGAGAAAGCAGCUCAGCACUGAGAUUAAUGCCAUCUGUUUCACAUUUGGGAUGGAAAGGCAAGUCUUGCAAAGAUCAUUUAACCACUGUGUCUUUUUCAUUUCUGGAAUCUGCUUACUUAAGAGAGGCCUACUAAAAAAAGGAAAAAAGAACCCUCCUAUCAUUUUCCAUGGAAGAACUUUUUUUGGAUGCCUCUAAGAGCCCCAGCAUUCCAGAAGAAGCGUGUCAGGAGAAACCGUGUCAUCGCGGGAGGCCUGGCCCCACAGAAUGUCUCAUCGUGGCCAAUGGACCCAAAGUAUCUCCAGAAGCAGCAGUAAUUUUAAGCAUAUAAAAUGUUCUCAUUGUGCCUGAUCAGGAAGGCAUUUGGAGCAAGUGGAAUAUGCCCCUUACGUCUCUCCAGACAUUGGAAACCACUUCUCUGUCUUUGAAGAAGCGCGUCUAGAGACUCGAGCGCUCCCAGAGAGGACUGUGCGUGCCUCUCUGCUGCCUGAACGGACGUCCCGCCCCGCGAGAGAAGCCAGGCGCGGGUGACAUUUUGGCCAUGGAGGGCGUGGCCCAUCGGGAAGGCCAGGCCGAGUGGGGGGGCCUUCAUUCCACACAGCCAGCACCCCCCACCGGCUCCAGCCUACCCCCAGCUCCCCUGCAGGCAUCAGGGGGUCUCUGAGCUCUUCUCCUUUCUCUGUGCCUUGGACUGUUUUGUGUCCUGGUUAACUGAGCUGUCAGCACCCGGUUCGGAGGCCCUCGGGUCCCCUGCAGCCCUCCGCCUGCAUGUCUGGGAGCUUGGGGAAGCCUCAAACUCGUGACCAGGGGAGUCAACACGAACAUGUGGUAGGUCCACGACGGCAUAAACGCAUGUAAGGAGGGAAGGCAGCCAGGGGUCCUCUGGCCACUCGAUACGUAAACUAAACUUGAGACAAUAAAAUUACUUAUUAUUUUUCUUAGGGCAUUUUGGGACAAUGGCUGUUACUUUUAGUUUGCCAUUUUAACAAGUAAUAAUAUAUUUUUAUUCUUCUUGGAAGGCAGCAAGUAUCCUCUGACUCUGGGACAAUUCAUGUUUUUCCUGAAGAGCAGGAGUGCAUUUUCCUUUGACGCACAAAUAAGGGGUUAAAUACUGAACUGUUGAGAUUUUCUUUCAGAACUGAAAUAAAAUAUUUGGCAUCUACUACUUCCAUAAAAAGCUAUUAGUUUCACAAAACAGCUUCAUGAAGGGAGACAGUCCUGGUACCAAAACAGUAUUUCCCCAGAAUAAAUUCCUGUGCAGAUUUAAAUUUAAGUUCUUGGGGUGCCUGGGUGGCUCAGUGGGUUA